rnacentral:lncRNA from 1 species
AAAGGAGUAAAAUCUCCUUGACUCUUGGACUACCAAUGUCAUUGCACUAAUGGACGAUUCUAUCAAUUGCAGGAAAUAACCUAAAUAAUUUUUGAGCAAGAUUGAAACAAAUAUUACAAUAGUCACAAGGCUGAUUCUAAGGAGUGGUUGGUCAUUUCCUUCACUUCUGAAAGCCUUCAGAGAAUGAUUUGCUUUACUUCCUCUACUAGGACAGCCCGGACUUUUGGGAGAAGAUCAGUACCUGGAAGACUUGCUGGGUCUGCACAAGAAAGGAGUCUGGGUCUCUGAAUGAACCUGAGUUGCUGGACUUCCUGGUAAGUGCUGAUUACUCCCUUUGCAUACAGUUUUUUUUUAAAGAUUUCGUUUCAAUUCAAGCUAGUUAACAUAUAUUGUAUUAUUUGUUUCAGUGGUAGAUUUAAGGAUUCAUCACUUGGAUAUAACACCCAGGGCUUAUUACAUCGAGUGCCCUCCUCACCUAAACAUAUGACAUUGUUAGGACAAUGUAGCCUGUAUGCUAACUGAAAUGACCAAGCCUUUUGCACACAGGCAAGUUGUCGAUUAUGAAUGAUGCCAAAGAAAGGCUUUUC